rnacentral:rRNA from 1 species
CUGUUUUAUCAAAAACAUCGCCUCUUGACAAACUAUAAGAGGUCCAGCCUGCCCAGUGAUAUUAUUCAACGGCCGCGGUAUCCUAACCGCGCGAAGGUAGCAUAAUCACUUGUUCUUUAAAUAGGGACUAGUAUCAAUGGCACCACGAGGGUUGCACUGUCUCCUCUCUCCAAUCAGUGAAACUGAUCUCCCCGUGAAGAAGCGGGGAUAAACCAAUAAGACGAGAAGACCCCAUGGAGCUUAAAAUCUAAUAGCAACUUUGCCACAUAAUCCACCAUAUUUUACAGAGCCAUGCUAGCAAAUUUUAGGUUGGGGCGACCGCGGAGUAAAAAUCACCCUCCAUGACGAAAAGAACUAAACCUUUAUCUAAGAACUACUAUUCUAAGAAUUAGCAUACUAACGAACCAUGACCCGAUAAUCGAUCAACGGACCAAGUUACCCUGGGGAUAACAGCGCAAUCUACUUUGAGAGUCCAUAUCGACAAGUAGGCUUACGACCUCGAUGUUGGAUCAAGGUAUCCUAGUGGUGCAGCCGCUACUAAUGGUUCGUUUGUUCAACGAUUAAAACCUUACGUGA